rnacentral:antisense_RNA from 1 species
CGGAAGGCGCCGGCGCCCAGCUGGGUCAGGUUGUUGUAGCUGAGGUCGAGGAACACGAGCUUGGCCGAGCCGCUGAACGUGCCCUCCUCCAGCGAGCGCAGCGAGUUGUUCCUGAAGUCCAGGCCGGAGGGUGAGCGAGGCAGGUGCCUGCCAGGGCCCCCGCUGUGGCCCGAAAGAAGGCCAGGCCAGUCAGCACUUUCCAUGCUGGCCCCGAACUUCUGGAUGGAACUGGCAUCCACGCAAGGAUCAGCUGCUGGUCUGACAGGUCCAGCCGCUGAGGCUCUGAGGCCUGGAGUCACCAGGCCUGGCUUCCAAGCUGUGUGGCCUCAGACCAGUGCCUCUGCCUCUCUGGACCUGGAAGCUCCAUUUGUGAAAUGGGAAAGGACAACGUGAGGGCCGCAUGGGGAAGUAUUUGUAUGGAAACAUGAUUUGAAAGGUCUUUGGAGAAAUAUUGCAGAUAAAAGUGGCCACAAAUCUUGCGAUGG